UUGGGUGGUAUUCUCGAAAGCGGCCUAAGUUAAAUCAGUGGCCUAAACCUGGUUUAAACCAUGGACUAUCUUUUUUGCUAUUCUCGAAGGUGGCCUAAAGAUAAGCCAGGCUUAAAUACGUCAUAGUUCGGCCUAACUUUAGGCCGCUCAGAGGGCAGGUUUAAAUACGUCAUAGUUCGGCCUAACUUCGCGUGACGUCACGUUUUAGUUAAAUCGAGUGUCCGCGGAGAGUGAACGGUUCUUUCCAAUUGAUGCAUGGGGAUGAAAAAAGAAGGCCUCUCCCAAGCUACUGUGUCCCGCCUUGUGAAGUCCAUCUCAAUAGCCAUUGCCAGGAGAUCGGAGCAAUACAUCUCAAUUCUUUCAACAAGAGAGGCAGUCCUGCAGAGUGCAGACCCAACAUGAAUUUUAUAAUUACUGCCAUUUCCCUGGCGUUAAUAUGGUUGGUGCUAUUGAUUGCACCCACAUAGGCGUCUCCAAGCCAGUUGGCCCAACACCAGUUAUUUCCUGAACAGGAAAAAUAGAUACUCCAUUUUUCUUGGAAAGUCUGCUGGAUGAUGUUCUUCUUCAGUAAAAUAAAUGAAGGCAAAUAACCUGAUGAUUAAG